rnacentral:misc_RNA from 1 species
GUGAGGAGGCGCGCGGCGGC